rnacentral:rRNA from 1 species
AACCUGGUUGAUCCUGCCAGUAGUCAUAUGCUUGCCUUAAAGAUUAAGCCAUGCAAGUCUAAGUAUAAACACGUUUGUACUGUGAAACUGCAGAUGGCUCAUUAUAACAGUUACAGUUUAUUUGACGAUUGCCAGUUACACGGAUAACCGUAGUAACCUAGGGCUAAUACGUGCCUCCGACUUUGUGCGCAAAGUAUGCAUGUUAGCUCACAAACCAAUUAUGGUUGAAACAUAACAUUUGUUUGAUCGCGUUGGGUUUCCAGCGACGCGUCAUUCAAGUUUCUGCCCUAUCAGCUAGACGGUAGGGUAUUGGCCUACCGUGGCAGUGACGGGUAACGGGGGAUUUUGGUUCGAUUCCGGAGAGGCAGCCUGAGAAACGGCUACCACAUCCACGGGAGGCAGCAGGUGCGCAAAUUACCCAAUGUUGACAAAACGAGGUAGUGACAGGGCAUAACGAUAAGCGGCAGUACUGUUGCUCAUUCGGAAUGAGAACAAUUUAAAACCCUUAUCGACUAUCAAGCGGAGGGCAAGCCUGGUGCCAGCAGCCGCGGUAAUACCAGCUCCGCUAGCGUAUACUAAAGUUGUUGCUGUUAAAAAGCUCGUAGUUGGAUUUCAGCCAGCCGGCAUGGCCCGACCGUGUAUACGGCCGCGAGCCAGGGUUUCCCGCGCCGGCUCGGCUUACUUCAGCGUCUCUGGUCUGGCUAUUCGCUUAGCCGGGCCACCGAACCUGAUCCUUUACUUUGAGAAAAUUAAAGCGCUCAAAGCAGCAGCCGCCUGGAUGCAUUAGCAUGGAAUAACAAAACAAGACUUUGGCGCCAGAUUCGUCUGGAAGUUUUGUUGGUUUUGGGCUAAAGUAAUGAUUGAUAGGAACAAGUGGGGGUGCUAGUAUCGCCAGGCUAGAGGUAAAAUUCUUUGACCCUGGUGAGACUGACUUAUGCGAAAGCAUUCACCAAGUUUGUUUUCUUUAAUCAAGAACUAAAGUUGGGGGAUCGAAGACGAUCAGAUACCGUCGUAGUCCCAACCAUAAACCAUGUCGACUAAGAGUCGGGGGGGUGCUGUGAACCUCCUCGGAGCUUUGAGAGAAAUCAAAGUUUUUGGACUCAGGGGGAAGUAUGCUCGCAAGAGUGAAACUUAAAGGAAUUGACGGAGGAGCACCACAAUGCGUGGAGCCUGCGCUUAAUUUGAUUCAACACGGGGAACCUUACCAGGCCAAGACAUAGUGAGGAUGGACAGAUUGAUGUUCUUUCUUGAUUCUAUGAAUGGUGGUGCAUGGCCGUUGUUGGUUGGUGGAGUGAUCUGUCUGGUUAAUUCCGAUAACGAACGAGACCUCAGCCAUCUAACUAGCUCUCGCUUGCAAAGCGUCAGCCCCGGCUGGGUUGAGCUUCUUAGAGGGACAAUCUGCGCGCAGCAGAUGGAGGAUUGAGGCAAUAACAGGUCAGUGAUGCCCUUAUAUGCUCUGGGCUGCACGCGCGCUACAAUGGCGCUCGCAGAGAGUGCCUAGUUCGAGAGGACCCGGCAACCUCGAAUGAGCGCCCAAGUGGGGAUAGGUGAUUGCAAUUGUUCACCUUGAACAAGGAAUGCAUAGUAAACGCAAGUCAUCAACUUGCAUUGACUACGUCCCUGCCCCUUGUACACACCGCCCGUCGCUUCUACCGAUUGAAUUGCUGGGUGAAUCGGACGGAUUGGAGCUCUUUGAGGCCAAGAAGUCCCGUGAACCCAGCAAUUUAGAGGAAGGAAAAGUCGUAACAAGGUUUCCGUAGGUGAACCUGCAGAAGGAUCAA